CUGUCUAGUCAUUGGCCAAAGAGAAUUUGGUGCCACCUCGUCGAGCCUUUUCCAUUGGCUCGGCGCAAUCUGCUGUUCCCUCUGCUACUAGCUCCUGUCUCACCCCCUCCCCUCUUUUUCUCCUUAUGCUCUUUGCGGUGGGCUGAUGAGUGACUUUUCUUUAAGAAGAGGAGGAGAACUUGCUCCUCUGUAGAGGUUGUGUACAUGCCCAGCGCCUCGCGGCGCUUAGCGAACGGCUCACUGGGGAAACUGCAAUGGGAGAAGUAAGGAAGUCACGGUGGCUACCGCCACUCACAAGUCGGCUCAACUUCACGCCCACCCCGGUUUCCACACUCUUGCAAAGAGGAAACUGGUCUCCACCCGAGAGACUACUGGGGCGGGAGGGUGCGACCGGCCUGUGGAUGUCUAGCGCCCACGGCUCUGACCGGGGAAAACUAUGGUUUAACUCGCCCGCCAGCACCGGGAUGCUAACUUCAGACACUGCGAUCUUGGGUGCAGAGAGCUCACAGGCAUAGUGAGAUACAGCACUGCGCUCAUUCAUUGGUCGCACUCUUCAGGGGACCGCCUCUGCCGGGAGCAGGAGCCCAAUCCUAUCCCCACCUACGGAGCGGGAUGUUUGAGAGUCUUUGAUCCUCAGGUUGGAAUUUGGGGAUCUUUCAGGGAAAUGGACUAACAAACGAGGUGUAUUCACACAGAUACAUUCACUCUGCUACAAGCCAAAGGGCCUGCAAGUGCAGCAAACAGGGUCUCAUGCACCUCUGGCUGUCUGUGAACCCCCUAUGUAGCCAAGGAAGACUUCAAACUUCUGGUUCUCUUUCAUCUAUCUCCCAAGUGCCAAGAAUACAGGUUUGGACCAUCUUUCCUGGCUUGUGUGAACCAAACUGAGGACUUGGGUCAUGUUGGGCAAGCAUUCUAUCAACUGAGCUACAGCUCCAGGUCUCUGUUAUUUGUUUGUUUGCUUUAGAGACUUUUACCCUUGCCUGGAACUCGUUAUUGCAGCCCAGACUGAAUUUGAUCUCAUGGCAUUCCUCCUGCCUCAGCUUGGAUUGCAGACAUGAACCAGCAUCUCUGGCUUGAAGAGUAGUGGAGGAGGGUUUAUGACUAAGAAAUAUAGGGCAUCCUUGGGGGAUAAUGAACAUAUUAAAAUUGACUGUUGUGAUUAAC